GGCGGGGCCCCGCGGGAGCUUCGUCCUGAGGAGAGUGCGACGGCGUCUCUUUUGUCGCGUCCUGCGCACCAAUGGGUCUGCGUGCCGCUGGGAUUCGUGAGUCGCCGGCCUCGCUGGACCCAGGUUCUUCACGUCAUAAAACAGGAAGGUAGCUGAAUCCAGGCCAGAGAUCAGGAAGAUUUUAACGAACACUUGCUCAAGAUUCUUUCCCCAAAAGGUAAUAACUGCCUUUUCCUCAUAUGAAUGAAUUUCUGAUUGCACAACUGAAAAAAAAAGUGAGAAAAUUAAGUCAAUGGAUUCUGUCUUGGAAGCAAAAUUUCUGGCAUUUCACAUUAAUGUCAGUAAGAAACAAAUA